ACUCAAAAGAGGUGCAUGCUGACAAGUGGAUAUGAGUGUUGAGAGAUGGGCCUGAAUCAAGUUGCAGCCCCAUUCUUUAUUGAUUAUGCUUUCGAUUUUCCAUUACAGGAAGGAUUUCCUUUUGAUUGACAUUUUCAAUUGGGAACUGGGGUUUUGUGGACCUUGUGGUGGUUCAGUUAUUACCCAGUGAUUUACUUUGUUCUCAAUGUUAGUUUUCAUGAAUAAUGACUUGCUGGUGGGAACUGUUGGGUUUCUGAGAAUUGUUUGAAUUUCAGAUACUUGACUCUGAAAGCUGGUUUUAUUUUAAUAGGGGUAAUGUCUUCAUAUUGGAUCUUUCAUCAGCUACUUUUGCCAGCUUCUAAUUUUUCAAAAUAUUUGAUUUCUGUGGCCAAGAAUGUUAAAUAAUAUCAAUAUUGAGGUGCUUUUACAUGUGUGGUCGUUUGUUUUGUGCAAUCAACAGGUGACGUCUUCUCUGGGGUUGGCCCAAUAGCUAUCUCAGCAGCAAAGAAAGUAAAGCGUGUGUAUGCUAAUGACUUAAACCCUUAUGCAAUUGAAUACCUGGAAAGCAAUAGUGUUCUCAACAAACUUGAGAGGAAGAUCAAGGUAUGAAUAUGUUCAUUUUCUUGCAAGGGCCAUUCCCUAGUAUCUAUUUUCUAUUCUGUUAGUUGAAAGAAGAAUAAUAAGAACAAACUAAGUCCAUUUAUUUUUCCGUGAUUACCAUCAUCAAAUUUUUAGUAGGGCGAAGUUCUUGUGGUGCCUGAAUAAUGGAGAUGGUGGCAUGAACAUAACUCCUUUUUCAAAACAUUUUUUUAAUCGGCAUAAGUCCUCUGGAACAUUCAACACUAGUGGGGAUUGGCUUCUACCGAAAUGCUAAUUUUUAAAAUUUUGAUAACUGAGAAGCAUUGUGCAUCAUGAGUUUGUUUGAGUUCAAGCAUCAUGGACAAAAAUAUGAAAAAGGAAUAGUUGUGUCACUGGAAUGUGGUGGAAUAUUCUUGAGUUCUUAAUAUGCAUGUACAUCAAACUGUGAACUUAAAGUUGUAAUAUUAGGGUUUUAGAGAGUUUCCUUCUUGAUGGAAAAUCACUUUUCUCUGUUGCUUUCUAGGUAUUUAACAUGGAUGGAAGGAGGUUC
rnacentral:lncRNA from 1 species